rnacentral:rRNA from 1 species
AUAUUGGACAAUGGGGGCAACCCUGAUCCAGCCAUGCCGCGUGAGUGAAGAAGGCCCUCGGGUUGUAAAGCUCUUUUGUCCGGAAAGAAAAGCUUCGGGUUAAUACCCCGGGGUUCUGACGGUACCGGAAGAAUAAGCACCGGCUAACUUCGUGCCAGCAGCCGCGGUAAUACGAAGGGUGAAAGAGUUACUCGGAAUUACUGGGCGUAAAGCGUGCGUAGGUGGUUGUUUAAGUCUGAUGUGAAAGCCCUGGGCUCAACCUGGGAAUGGCAUUGGAAAGUGGGCAGCUAGAGUUGGGUAGAGGGUAGUGGAAUUCCCGGUGUAGGAGUGAAAUGCGUAGAGAUCGGGAGGAACAUCUGUGGCGAA